rnacentral:rRNA from 1 species
UACGGAGGGUGCAGGCGUUAUCCGGAUUCACUGGGUUUAAAGGGUGCGUAGGUGGGUCUGUAAGUCAGUGGUGAAAUCUUCGAGCUUAACUCGGAAACUGCCAUUGAUACUAUAGAUCUUGAAUUUUCUGGAGGUAAGCGGAAUAUGUCAUGUAGCGGUGAAAUGCUUAGAUAUGACAUAGAACACCAAUUGCGAAGGCAGCUUACUACGGGAAUAUUGACACUGAGGCACGAAAGCGUGGGGAUCAAACAGG